AGUGGCCCUGAUCGAAGUCGAUUUUGUCCUGAUUUGUGGUUAAAUCGGUCAAGAAGGCGCCUACAGUAAAACUUCCACCGACGGUCGCUGCUCAGUUUCUCUGGCUAACUGAUUAGCAACAUUAUGGGGAAGGAUAGCA